rnacentral:rRNA from 1 species
AGCGAACGCUGGCGGCAGGCCUAACACAUGCAAGUCGAACGAACCCCUCGGGGUGAGUGGCGGACGGGUGGGUAACACGUGGGAACGUGCCGUGAGGUUCGGACUAACUUAGGGAAAAUUGUGCUAAUACUGAAGGUGCCCUUGGGGGGAAAGAUUUAUCGCCUUUAGGGCGGCCCGCGUCUGAUUAGCUAGUUGGUGAGGUAAUGGCUAACCAAGGCUACGAUCAGUAGCUGGUCUGAGAGGAUGACCAGCCACAGUGGGAAUGAGACACGGCCCAAACUCCGACGGGAGGCAGCAGUGGGGAAUCUUGCGCAAUGGGCGAAAGCCUAACGCAGCCAUGCCGCGUGGAUGAUGAAGGUCUUAGGAUUGUAAAAUCCUUUCACCGGUGAAGAUAAUGACUGUAGCCGGAGAAGAAGCCCCGGCUAACUUCGUGCCAGCCGCCGCCGUAACAC